GUGAACGCUGGCGGUAGGCCUAACACCUGCAAGUCGAACGGCAGCACAGUAAGAGCUUGCUCUUACGGGUGGCGAGUGGCGGACGGGUGAGGAAUACAUCGGAAUCUACUUUUUCGUGGGGGAUAACGUAGGGAAACUUACGCUAAUACCGCAUACGACCUACGGGUGAAAGCAGGGGAUCUUCGGACCUUGCGCGAUUGAAUGAGCCGAUGUCGGAUUAGCUAGUUGGCGGGGUAAAGGCCCACCAAGGCGACGAUCCGUAGCUGGUCUGAGAGGAUGAUCAGCCACACUGGAACUGAGACACGGUCCAGACUCCUACGGGAGGCAGCAGUGGGGAAUAUUGGACAAUGGGCGCAAGCCUGAUCCAGCCAUACCGCGUGGGUGAAGAAGGCCUUCGGGCUGUAAAGCCCUUUUGUUGGGAAAGAAAAGCAGCAGGUUAAUACCCCGCUGUUCCGACGGUACCCAAAGAAUAAGCACCGGCUAACUUCGUG
rnacentral:rRNA from 1 species